UCCACACCAAAAUAAUGAUAGCAAAGCUCUGAGUUGUUUAAUUUUAUGAAAGGUUUUCCAAAAUUAUGGGAGAAACAAACAGUGAGGAAACACUUUUGAGUGCCACUGUUGGUAUGAGAGCUUGACUGUUUCAGCAGGCUGUGGGAACAACACUACCAAUAUCAAAACGUAUGGGUUCCAGCUGAGUAGAGCUGACUGUUUCAGCAGGCUGUGGGAACAACACCACCAAUAUCAAAACGUAUGGGUUCUAGCUGAGUGGAUACCGCCACAACAAAUUUUCCUGUGUUGUGGCGGUGCCCACUCAAGUGGGACCCACAUAUUUUGAUGUUGUGAUUGUGUUCCACUCAAGUGUGGUACCCACACAUUUUGGAAAACAAAAAAAGAGAACACUUGCCAUGCUAUAGAUUCUGUGGAUGUUGUUCAAAAGGCCUGUCUUAACCAGAAAAAUUGCACACUUGAUGUCAAUAUAAACAAGUUUGCUCUUUUACCUCAAGAAUGGAGACAGAUUUUCAGUUAUAGGCUUGCUGUUGAAGCAGUUUGUUAGGAUUUCUUUAGGCAGGAAUAACUUUUGUAAUGAUACUUAGUUAGUAUUAUAAAGACUGAGUUUUUUUUUUUUUAUAUAUAUAUAUGUCUUCUCUUCUUUUUA